UACGUAGGGUGCGAGCGUUUGUCCGGAAUUAUUGGGCGUAAAGGGCUCGUAGGCGGUCUGUCGCGUCGAAAGUGAAAACCCAGGGCUUAACCCUGGGCCUGCUUCCGAUACGGGCAGACUAGAGGUAUGCAGGGGAGAACGGAAUUCCUGGUGUAGCGGUGAAAUGCGCAGAUAUCAGGAAGAACACCCGUGGCGAAGGCGGCUCUCUGGAACGCAACUGACGCUGAGACGCGAAAAGCGUGGGGAGCAAACAGG
rnacentral:rRNA from 1 species